rnacentral:rRNA from 1 species
UACGAAGGGGGCUAGCGUUGCUCGGAAUCACUGGGCGUAAAGCGCACGUAGGCGGCUUGUUAAGUCAGGGGUGAAAUCCUGGAGCUCAACUCCAGAACUGCCUUUGAUACUGGGGAUCUCGAGUCCGGGAGAGGUGAGUGGAACUGCGAGUGUAGAGGUGAAAUUCGUAGAUAUUCGCAAGAACACCAGUGGCGAAGGCGGCUCACUGGCCCGGAACUGACGCUGAGGUGCGAAAGCGUGGGGAGCAAACAGG